rnacentral:tRNA from 1 species
GUUUUUAUAGCUUAGAUAGAGCAUAUUAGUGAAGUUAAUAAGGAAAUUUACAUUUGAAAACA